GCAAAACGCGAAGAACCUUACCUAGGCUUGACAUGCAUCUCUAAGCGCGUGAAAGCGCGUGACCCUUCGGGGGAUUUGCACAGGUGCUGCAUGGCCGUCGUCAGCUCGUGUCGUGAGAUGUUGGGUUAAGUCCCGCAACGAGCGCAACCCUUGUGAACAGUUGCCAGCACUUAAGGUGGGAACUCUGUUCAGUCUGCCCAGAUCAACUGGGAGGAAGGUGGGGACGACGUCAGGUCAGUAUGGCCCUUACGCCUAGGGCUGCACACGUACUACAAUGCCCAGCACAAUGAGAACCGAGACCGCGAGGUGGAGGAAAUCUAAAAAACUGGGCCCAGUUCGGAUUGGAGGCUGCAACUCGCCUCCAUGAAGUUGGAAUCGCUAGUAAUGGCGCAUCAGCUACGGCGCCGUGAAUACGUUCCCGGGUCUUGUACACACCG
rnacentral:rRNA from 1 species